GACGAACGCUGGCGGCGUGCUUAACACAUGCAAGUCGAACGGAAAGGCCCUUCUUUGGUGGGGUGCUCGAGUGGCGAACGGGUGAGUAACACGUGAGUAACCUGCCCUUGACUUUGGGAUAACUUCAGGAAACUGGGGCUAAUACCGGAUAGGAUCUCCUGCUGCAUGGUGGGGGUUGGAAAGUUUCGGCGGUUGGGGAUGGACUCGCGGGUUAUCGGGUUGUUGGUGGGUUAGUGGCUUACCAAGGCUUUGACGGGUAGCCGGCCUGAGAGGGCGACCGGGCACAUUGGGGCUGAGAUACGGCCCAGACGCCGACGGGGGGCAGCAGGGGGGAAUAGGGCAAAAGGGGCGGAAGCCUGAUGCAGCAACGCCGCGUGCGGGAGGACGGCCUUCGGGUUGUAAACCGCUGUCAGCAGGGGCGAAGCGUGGGGUGACGGGAACUGCAGAAGAAGCACCGGCGAACUACGUG
rnacentral:rRNA from 1 species